AAGAGAGUGUCAGAUCCCCUGGAGCUGGCAACUUCAGCUGCCCAAGUGGGUGCCUGGAAAUGAACCUAGAUCCUCUGAAAAAAAUGUCAAGUGCUCUUAACCACUUAGUCAUGUCUUCAGCCCAGAACAUGGUUUUCAAUCUACGAACUCCAGCUUCACCAGAUCUCAGAAUGGACCCCAACUGUUCCUGCUCCAUCCUCCUGAAACUGCCUCCACAUUGGAACAUGGAAUUUGGGGUAGCCUAAAUCUGUAUUCCUAGACCAUGGUCAUUCAUAUUUGGCUUCAAGAUAAACUAUCUCCUAUCCCCUUGGAGAGUAAAUCUAUGUCAACGGAAAAGGUUGUCGUGGCCUAUUUUAAGAUAACAAGCAGAGAAAAGGUAUUCCCUGCUACAUUAAAAAUUCUUUUUUGUAAAGGGUACUUUCCCUUGGGAAGUCUAUAUUCACACUUGGAUACUUACCUUCCUCCUUAAGUAGCACUCCUUAAACCCCUGCGCUUAAGCCUGUAUUAAAGUAUCUUUAUUAUACCAAUUAGUCCAGAAUUUCUUUUUAGCAUCUGUACUGGCUUUUGUCAACUUGACAUAAGCUAGAGCCAUCUGGAAAGAGGGGGCCUCAAUGGAACAAAUGCCACCAUCAGAUUGGCCUGUAGGAAAGUCAAUGGACAUUUUCUUGUAAUGAUUGGUGUGGGUGGUGCCACCCCCGGGCAGAUGAUCAUAAAUCGUAUAAGAAAGCAAG